AUUGAACGCUGGCGGCGUGCUUAACACAUGCAAGUCGUGCGGUAACAGGCGUAGCAAUACGUGCUGACGAGCGGCGAACGGGUGCGUAAUACAUGGGAAUCUGCCUUUUAGUGGGGAAUAACCCGGCGAAAGCCGGGCUAAUGCCGCAUAAGAUCUUCGGAUGAAAGCGGGGAUCGUAAGACCUCGCGCUGAUGGAUGAGCCCAUGCCGGAUUAGCUAGUGGUGAGGUAACGGCUCACCAAGGCGACGAUCCGUAGCUGGUCUGAGAGGACGGCCAGCCACACUGGGACUGAGACACGGCCCAGACUCCUACGGGAGGCAGCAGUGGGAAUAUUGGACAAUGGGGAAACCCUGAUCCAGCGACGCCGCGUGUGUGAAGAAGG
rnacentral:rRNA from 1 species